rnacentral:rRNA from 1 species
AUUGAACGCUGGCGGCAGGCUUAACACAUGCAAGUCGAGCGGUAACAGGGGAGCUUGCUCCUGCUGACGAGCGGCGGACGGGUGAGUAACGCGUAGGAAUCUACCUAGUAGAGGGGGACAACAUGUGGAAACGCAUGCUAAUACCGCAUACGCCCUAAGGGGGAAAGGAGGGGACUUUUCGGAGCCUUCCGCUAUUAGAUGAGCCUGCGUAAGAUUAGCUAGUUGGUAGGGUAAAGGCCUACCAAGGCGACGAUCUUUAACUGGUCUGAGAGGAUGACCAGUCACACUGGGACUGAGACACGGCCCAGACUCCUACGGGAGGCAGCAGUGGGA